UUCUUAAAUUUAUUAUAGAAUUUUAUAUUUUAGUUAAAAAGCUAAAAUAAAUUUAAAAGACGAGAAGACCCUAUAAAUCUUUAUAUUUAUAUUUUUAUAAUUUUUUAGUAAUAUUUUAUAAUAAAAAUUUAUAUUAUUUUAUUGGGGUGAUAUUAAAAUUUAUUUAACUUUUAAUUAAUAAUUACAUUAAUUUAUGAAUUAUUGAUCCAUUAAUAAUGAUUAAAAAUUUAAGUUACCUUAGGGAUAACAG
rnacentral:rRNA from 1 species